rnacentral:rRNA from 1 species
CCAGACUCCUACGGGAGGCAGCAGUGGGGAAUAUUGCACAAUGGGGGAAACCCUGAUGCGGCGACGCCGCGUGAGUGAAGAAGUAUUUCGGUAUGUAAAGCUCUAUCAGCAGGGAAGAAAAUGACGGUACCUGACUAAGAAGCCCCGGCUAACUACGUGCCAGCAGCCGCGGUAAUACGUAGGGGGCAAGCGUUAUCCGGAUUUACUGGGUGUAAAGGGAGCGUAGACGGCAUGGCAAGUCAGAUGUGAAAGCCCGGGGCUCAACCCCGGGACUGCAUUUGAAACUGUCAGGCUGGAGUGCAGGAGAGGUAAGUGGAAUUCCUAGUGUAGCGGUGAAAUGCGUAGAUAUUAGGAGGAACACCAGUGGCGAAGGCGGCCUGCUGGACUGCAACUGACGUUGAGGCUCGAAGGCGUGGGGAGCAAACAGGAUUAGAUACCCCUGUAUC